rnacentral:rRNA from 1 species
AUGAACGCUGGCGGCGUGCUUAACCCAUGCAAGUCGAACGGAAAGGCCCAAGCUUGCUUGGGUACUCGAGUGGCGAACGGGUGAGUAACACGUGGGUGAUCUGCCCUGCACUUCGGGAUAAGCCUGGGAAACUGGGUCUAAUACCGGAUAGGACCACAUUUUGGAUGGUGUGGUGGAAAGUUUUUCGGUGUGGGAUGAGCUCGCGGCCUAUCAGCUUGUUGGUGGGGUAAUGGCCUACCAAGGCGUCGACGGGUAGCCGGCCUGAGAGGGUGUACGGCCACAUUGGGACUGAGAUACGGCCCAGACUCCUACGGGAGGCAGCAGUGGGGAAGAUUGCACAAUGGGCGCAAGCCUGAUGCAGCGACGCCGCGUGGGGGAUGACGGCCUUCGGGUUGUAAACUCCUUUCGCUAGGGACGAAGCGUUAUGUGACGGUACCUGGAGAAGAAGCACCGGCUAACUACGUG